CCUACGGGAGGCUGCAGUGGGGAAUAUUGGACAAUGGGCGAAAGCCUGAUCCAGCCAUGCCGCGUGUGUGAAGAAGGCCUUCGGGUUGUAAAGCACUUUCAGUGGGGAAGAAAGCCUUGGGGCUAAUACCUUCGAGGAAGGACAUCACCCACAGAAGAAGCACCGGCUAACUCCGUGCCAGCAGCCGCGGUAAUACGGAGGGUGCGAGCGUUAAUCGGAAUUACUGGGCGUAAAGCGCGCGUAGGCGGUCUGAUAAGCCGGUUGUGAAAGCCCCGGGCUCAACCUGGGAACGGCAUCCGGAACUGUCAGGCUAGAGUGCAGGAGAGGAAGGUAGAAUUCCCGGUGUAGCGGUGAAAUGCGUAGAGAUCGGGAGGAAUACCAGUGGCGAAGGCGGCCUUCUGGACUGACACUGACGCUGAGGUGCGAAAGCGUGGGUAGCAAACAGGAUUAGAUACCCGAGUAGUC
rnacentral:rRNA from 1 species